UGGGGAAUCUUCCGCAAUGGGCGCAAGCCUGACGGAGCAACGCCGCGUGAGUGAAGAAGGUCUUCGGAUCGUAAAGCUCUGUUGAUGGGGACGAACGUGCCUAAUGCGAAUAGUAUUAGGUAAUGACGGUACCCAUCGAGGAAGCCACGGCUAACUACGUGCCAGCAGCCGCGGUAAUACGUAGGUGGCGAGCGUUGUCCGGAAUCAUUGGGCGUAAAGGGAGCGCAGGCGGGCAUGUAAGUCUUUCUUAAAAGUGCGGGGCUCAACCCCGUGAUGGGAAAGAAACUAUGUGUCUUGAGUACAUGAGAGGAAAGCGGAAUUCCCAGUGUAGCGGUGAAAUGCGUAGAUAUUGGGAGGAACACCAGUGGCGAAGGCGGCUUUCUGGACUGCAACUGACGCUGAGGCUCGAAAGCCAGGGGAGCGAACGGG
rnacentral:rRNA from 1 species